rnacentral:rRNA from 1 species
UUUGAAACUGCGAAUGGCUCAUUAUAUCAGUUAUAGUUUAUUUGAUGAAGAACACUAAUUGGAUAACCGUAGUAAUUCUAGAGCUAAUACAUGUAUAAAGUCUUGUGUACUGUGUUUAUUAGAAUGAAAACCAUAGGUUUCGGCCUAUUCGUGAGUAAUAAUAACUAAUCAUAUCGUAUGCUUACGUAACGAUGUGUCUUUCAAGUUUCUGCCCUAUCAGCUUUCUAUGGUGGUGUAUUGGACUCCCAUG